rnacentral:rRNA from 1 species
CAGCAGCCACGGUAAUACGUAGGGUGCGAGCGUUAAUCGGAAUUACUGGGCGUAAAGCGUGCGCAGGCGGUUUUGUAAGACAGGCGUGAAAUCCCCGGGCUCAACCUGGGAAUGGCGCUUGUGACUGCAAAGCUAGAGUGCGGCAGAGGGGGAUGGAAUUCCGCGUGUAGCAGUGAAAUGCAUAGAUAUGCGGAGGAACACCGAUGGCGAAGGCAAUCCCCUGGGCCUGCACUGACGCUCAUGCACGAAAGCGUGGGGAGCAAACAGGAUUAGAUACCCCCGUAGUCCCUGUCUCUUAUAC